ensembl:lncRNA
GGGAGAGAUAGGGGAGUGGUAGAGCGGGGGAGAGAUAGGUGAGAACUAGAGUGAGGGAGAGAUAGGGGAGAGGACAAGCGGGGGAGAGAUAGGGGAGGUGGAGAGCGGGGGAGAGAUAGGGGAGGGGUAGAGCGGGAGAGAGGUAGAGCAGGGGAGAGAUAGGGGAGAGGUAGAGUGAGGGAGAGAUAUGGGAGAGGGCGAGCGGGGGAGAGAUAGGGGAGAGGUAGAGCGGGGGAGAGAUAGGGGCGAGGUAGAGCGGGGGAGAGAUAGGGGCGAGGUAGAGCGGGGGAGAGAUAGGGGCCAGGUAGAGCGGGGGAGAGAUAGGGGCCAGGUAGAGUGAGGGAGAGAUAGGGGAGAGGUAGAGUGGGGGAGAGAUAGGGGAGAGGUAGAGUGAGGGAGAGAUAGGGUAGUGGGUGAGCGGGGGAGAGAUAGGGGCCAGGUAGAGCGGGCGAGAGAUAGGGGGGAGAUAAAGUGAGGGAGUGAUAGAGGCCAGGUAGAGCGGGGGAGCGAUAGGGGAGAUGUAGUGCUGGGAAGAGGUAGAGUGAGGGAGAGAUAGGGGCCAGGUAGAGCGGGCGAGAGACAGGGGAGAGGUGGAGCGGGGGAGAGAUAGUGGAGAGGGCAUGCGGGGGAGAGAUAGAGAAAGUGAGAAAAGAAAGUGGGAGACUGAUGAGUGGAGGGAAAGUGAGGGAGAGAUGAAUGAAAUCCAUUUAUCUUCUCUGUCAUUAGCCC